rnacentral:tRNA from 1 species
GAAAAUGAUGGUUUAAUCCCUUCCCUUACUA